rnacentral:rRNA from 1 species
GAUGAACGCUGGCUACAGGCUUAACACAUGCAAGUCGAGGGGAAACGGCGUUUGGUGCUUGCACCGAAUGGACGUCGACCGGCGCACGGGUGAGUAACGCGUAUCCAACCUUCCCGUUACUGCGGGAUAACCUGCCGAAAGGCAGACUAAUACCGCAUGUUCUUCGAUGACGGCAUCAGAUUCGAAGCAAAGAUCCGUCGGUAACGGAGGGGGAUGCGUCUGAUUAGCUAGUUGGCGGGGCGACGGCCCACCAAGGCGACGAUCAGUAGGGGUUUUGAGAGGAAGGUCCCCCACAUUGGAACUGAGACACGGUCCGAACUCCUACGGGAGGCAGCAGUGAGGAAUAUUGGUCAAUGGGCGGAAGCCUGAACCAGCCAAGUAGCGUGCAGGAUGACGGCCCUACGGGUUGUAAACUGCUUUUAUGCGGGGAUAAAGUGAGGGACGC